CACGUAGGCACCAAGCGUUGUCCGGAUUUAUUGGGCGUAAAGAGCUCGUAGGCGGUUCAGUAAGUCGGGUGUGAAAACUCUGGGCUUAACCCAGAGACGCCACCCGAUACUGCUGUGACUUGAGUACGGUAGGGGAGCAGGGAAUUCCUGGUGUAGCGGUGAAAUGCGCAGAUAUCAGGAGGAACACCGAUGGCGAAGGCAGGUCUCUGGGCCACUACUGACGCUGAGAAGCGAAAGCAUGGGGAGCGAACAGG
rnacentral:rRNA from 1 species